rfam:Plicaturopsis crispa FD-325 SS-3 unplaced genomic scaffold PLICRscaffold_2, whole genome shotgun sequence.
GCUUGGUUGGCUCAGCUGGUUAGAGCGCCGGUCUCAUAUUCUCUAGUAUGAUGUAUACAAGUGGUACAGUAAUCCGGAGAUCACCAGUUCGAUCCUGGUACCGAGCA